rnacentral:rRNA from 1 species
UAGGGAAUCUUCCGCAAUGGACGCAAGUCUGACGGAGCAACGCCGCGUGAGUGAAGAAGGAUCUCGGUUCGUAAAACUCUGUUGUUAGAGAAGAACAGCGCAUAGAGUAACUGUUAUGCGUGUGACGGUAUCUAACCAGAAAGCCACGGCUAACUACGUGCCAGCAGCCGCGGUAAUACGUAGGUGGCAAGCGUUGUCCGGAUUUAUUGGGCGUAAAGCGAGCGCAGGCGGUCAAUUAAGUCUGAUGUGAAAGCCCCCGGCUCAACCGGGGAGGGUCAUUGGAAACUGGUUGACUUGAGUGCAGAAGAGGAGGGUGGAAUUCCAUGUGUAGCGGUGAAAUGCGUAGAUAUAUGGAGGAACACCAGUGGCGAAGGCGACUCUCUGGUCUGUAACUGACGCUGAGGCUCGAAAGCGUGGGUAGCAAACAGG